CCUACGGGAGGCAGCAGUGAGGAAUAUUGGUCAAUGGCCGUAAGGCUGAACCAGCCAAGUCGCGUGAAGGAAGAAGGAUCUAUGGUUUGUAAACUUCUUUUAUAGGGGAAUAAAGGUAUCCACGUGUGGAUAUUUGCAUGUACCCUAUGAAUAAGCAUCGGCUAACUCCGUGCCAGCAGCCGCGGUAAUACGGAGGAUGCGAGCGUUAUCCGGAUUUAUUGGGUUUAAAGGGUGCGUAGGUUGUUUUUUAAGUCAGCGGUGAAAGUUUGUGGCUCAACCAUAAAAUUGCCGUUGAAACUGGAAGACGUGAGUGUGUUUGAGGUAGGCGGAAUGCGUGGUGUAGCGGUGAAAUGCAUAGAUAGCACGCAGAACUCCGAUUGCGAAGGCAGCUUACUAAGCCAUAACUGACACUGAAGCACGAAAGCGUGGGGAUCAAACAGGAUUAGAUACCCCUGUAGUC
rnacentral:rRNA from 1 species